UAGGGAAUCUUCCGCAAUGGACGCAAGUCUGACGGAGCAACGCCGCGUGAGUGAAGAAGGAUUUCGGUUCGUAAAACUCUGUUGUUAGAGAAGAACAGCGCAUAGAGUAACUGUUAUGCGUGUGACGGUAUCUAACCAGAAAGCCACGGCUAACUACGUGCCAGCAGCCGCGGUAAUACGUAGGUGGCAAGCGUUGUCCGGAUUUAUUGGGCGUAAAGCGAGCGCAGGCGGUCAAUUAAGUCUGAUGUGAAAGCCCCCGGCUCAACCGGGGAGGGUCAUUGGAAACUGGUUGACUUGAGUGCAGAAGAGGAGAGUGGAAUUCCCUGUGUAGCGGUGAAAUGCGUAGAUAUAUGGAGGAACACCAGUGGCGAAGGCGACUCUCUGGUCUGUAACUGACGCUGAGGCUCGAAAGCGUGGGUAGCAAACAGG
rnacentral:rRNA from 1 species